AGGAAGAAUCAAUUCUAUCAACCCUGCUUUUUUUAAUGAUCCAAAAAACUUCCUUACAGACCAGCACAAAUUGCAUACAAAAUGUUCUCAAUCCCACUGAAAAAGAUGUAUCUGAUAAAACCAAGGUAAUACAAAACCGAAAAAUUCCCACAUCAGAAACCAAAGAUCCUCCCUCUAAUAGAUCUAGUCUUCUUACAUGUUUCACUUAUCUCUUGCACUUUCUUUCUUACCUCUCCAUCCUUAUACAACACACUCUUUAUUCCUCUCUCAAUUUUGUCCGCAGUUAAAAGAGAGUUAGACUCACCAAUAAACUCCAACCUCUAAUCUAACGUAAUCUCCACGACCAUCUUCAACUCACACAUACUUAUACAUUGAUCUAACCACCCCCUUGCAAAUUCUACUCCAACGGCUAUUUCUUCUAAUUAGACAUGUAUUCGAUUUGAUGCUUUAGAUACUAAGAAAACUGUAAUGGUUCAAAUGUUUAAGUCCAGAGUCAAUUUUCAAAGGGUGCCGCAUGUUGAUGGAUCCUUGCCAGUCGAUGCCCCAGUCAGAUGAAUCAAUUGUGAAGAAAUGGUUUUAACACAUUUAUUUCCUGGCAUAAAAUCUUAUUAACCGAUGCAAGUGAUACAACCGGAACAAAUGCAAUUAAUUAUAGACUUAAAUAUGUAUUUCAUCCUUGCAAUUAGGGGUCGUUUAAAAAUUGGUCUCUGUAAUCGCUAAUCCUGGCAAUUUACCCUUGCAUUGUUUAAUCAUUUAAAAUUUCGUCCCUCUCCCCACUUAAUCACUGGCAUGUCACUAAUUUGAUGACGUGGCAAUCACUGCCAUACAUGAAAUUCCAAUUUUACCCCUGAGUUUCCAAUUCUUUCUUCAAUAUUUGUCCUCUUCUUAAGGGCAAAAUUGGAAUUUCAUGUGUGGUAGUGAUUGCCACGUCAUCGAAUUAGUGACGUGGCAGUGAUUAAGUUGGUCAAAGGACGAAAUUUUAAAUGAUUAAUGAUUGCAAGGCUAGUUUGCAAAGAUUAGCGAAUACAGGGACCAAUUUUUAAAUGACCCCUAAUUGCAAGGAUGAAAUACAUAUUUAAGCCUUAAUUAUAUAACCACCAUACAUGUUAGAGUCUGAGUGAUAAAAGAUAUAAAGAAAUUAGAGGUUGCUUAUAGGAGGGAUUAAACCAUGGAUAGGUGUGUGUUAGAAGCUUCCACAUCACAGGAUGAUCCACAGGCCACAUUUAUGAUCAUGCCAAGACUUGUGCCAUGAUUCCCUCGACGGUUUCAACGGGAUCACACCGAUUAGUCCGAAUCCUGACAUUUAUGAACUUCAUUUUACAGAACUAUAAAAAACAAAAACAUUUAUUAUGAGAAGCUAGAACCAUGAGAUUGCAGUCAAGAGGAAAUUAUUGUAAAAAAUUCAAUCCACAAAGCUCCAAACCAAUCCAAAAUAUUAUAGAAAAAAGAGGCAGCCUGCACUGCACUGCAUUGUCCUUAGUCAAACACAUGCCCACAAACCUCAUAGUGUGAAUUAUUUUAUGACUUUCCACGGUCAAUACAUGCACUUUAAUAGCUGCUAGCCAUCUAUCCAUUGAAUAAUUUAAAGACAAACAUUUAAAUCUCAC
rnacentral:lncRNA from 1 species